GUGCUCUCUCUGGUAGCAUGUACACUAAUAUCGGAAAAUUUAGAGAAGAUGAGCAUGGCCCCUGCACAAAAUAAAAUCAACAAGGUACUGAAAUUACUAAUUUUC